rnacentral:rRNA from 1 species
GGGAGUGCUCGCAAGAGAACCGGAGCACAGGUGCUGCAUGGCUGUCGUCAGCUCGUGUCGUGAGAUGUUGGGUUAAGUCCCGCAACGAGCGCAACCCUUGUCAUUAGUUGCCACCAUUCAGUUGGGCACUCUAAUGAGACUGCCGGUGACAAACCGGAGGAAGUGGGGAUGACGUCAAGUCCUCAUGGCCCUUAUGGGUAGGGCUUCACACGUCAUACAAUGGUCGGUACAGAGGGUCGCCAACCCGCGAGGGGGAGCCAAUCCCACAAAGCCGAUCGUAGUCCGGAUUGGAGUCUGCAACUCGACUCCAUGAAGUCGGAAUCGCUAGUAAUCGUGGAUCAGCAUGUCACGGUGAAUACGUUCCCGGGUCUU